AUGGUUGAUGCUUCUGGAGCAGAAACUAUAUGGGGGCACUGGAAGAGGUAUCAUAGAGAGGAGAUGAAAGAGCGUGUUAAGGUCCAGUACGCAGGCGUCAAACACGCCAAGUUUGGGGUUGUUACUCCCCCGAACAGUAUGAGCGACCUCUCGAGCCGUAAGGUUGCUUUCGCCACCAUCCUUCAGAGCACUGCUAGAAGUAAGAGACGCUUCGCUGAGGAUCAAGAAUUCUUUAUCAACAUGAACAAUAAUAGUUUUGAGAGUCUAGAAUUUAGGGGCUCUGAUGAUGUGAGUGUGUCAUGUAAAAGAGUGUGUGUGUUGAGGCUCAUCUAG
rnacentral:rRNA from 1 species